rnacentral:rRNA from 1 species
GCGGUGGAUGAUGUGGUUAAUUCGAUGCAACGCGAAAACCUUACCCACCUUUGACAUGGCAGGAAUCCCGAAGAGAUUGGAGUGCUCGAAAGAGAACCUGCACACAGGUGCUGCAUGGCUGUCGUCAGCUCGUGUCGUGAGAUGUUGGGUUAAGUCCCGCAACGAGCGCAACCCUUGCCAUUAGUUGCUACGAAAGGGCACUCUAAUGGGACUGCCGGUGACAAACCGGAGGAAGGUGGGGAUGACGUCAAGUCCUCAUGGCCCUUAUAGGUGGGGCUACACACGUCAUACAAUGGCCGGUACAGAGGGUAGCCAACCCGCGAGGGGGAGCCAAUCCCACAAAGCCGGUCGUAGUCCGGAUUGCAGUCUGCAACUCGACUGCGUGAAGUCGGAAUCGCUAGUAAUCGCGGAUCAGCAUGUCGCGGUGAAUACGUUCCCGGGUCUU